CUAGCGACACGCAACUGCAGUGCCGAGCGACCUGCGGUCGCCACGGGUUCUAUUCCCACUCUAUACGAGUGGAAAUAGUCCCUGUUGGUCGGCAUGCCGACCAUCGGGAUAGUGAGCCGUCGGGCUCACGGAGGAGGUCAUGUGACUGUCGGUCAGCCGACCGGCGGUCACAUGACUACCACCCCUUCCAGCAGGACUACCAAAUCCACGGUUGGUUCUAUAUCGGAGGGGCUGAAGGGACCUUGUGACGUAUUGAGGGGAGGAGCUACAGGCGAACAGGGUACCCGAAAAGUUCGCUCGCCACGCUUCGGGCACGGUGGCUCGCUUCGCUCACCACCUAAUUACUAAAGGUAAUAGUUGGUGGCGUGGAUAGUAGAGGAACUAUCCCGCUGGCCUAGCUCCUCCCCCUUGCGUCGUAACUCCUCCCCUUUACGGAAAAGGUCCCUUAGCCCACUUGAUUCUAGCAUCUACCCUGGUCAUGUGUCAUCUAUCUCAUUAGCCAUGUAUGCCCCAGUGCUGCUGCAGUCUCUUCGCAAUCAGAAAUAUUGCAAUUCAGCCUGUGGCAUUUACCACAUUACAGAUGAAAGAAUGAGGAGUUGAUUGUGGCUGAUAUCUGAUGUUUAAAUGUCAGGUCACUGGGACAACGCCAAGAUUCUGCACAUGAUCAGUGUUUUGUAAUUCUGAACCCCCCAAGUGGUUAUGAAGACGCCAUACAUCAAUCAGUCCCAGCUGUGCAGACAUGUAAUCCAGAUUGAUCCCGGGAAGUCGGGUCCUCUGAGACGAGGCACCCUUCCUGUCCAAGACCAAAGAGGAUACCAUAUUCAUAUUCCCUCCAACAAUA